GAGGGUAUAGCUCAGUGAUAGAGUGUGUGCUUAGCAUGCACAAGGUCCUGGGUUCAAUCCCCAGUACCGCUA
rnacentral:tRNA from 1 species